rnacentral:rRNA from 1 species
AGACCCGAAACCCGGUGAUCUAGCCAUGGGCAGGUUGAAGGUUGGGUAACACUAACUGGAGGACCGAACCGACUAAUGUUGAAAAAUUAGCGGAUGACCUGUGGCUGGGGGUGAAAGGCCAAUCAAACCGGGAGAUAGCUGGUUCUCCCCGAAAGCUAUUUAGGUAGCGCCUCGUGAAUUCAUCUCCGGGGGUAGAGCACUGUUUCGGCUAGGGGGCCAUCCCGGCUUACCAACCCGAUGCAAACUGCGAAUACCGGAGAAUGUUAUCACGGGAGACACACGGCGGGUGCUAACGUCCGUCGUGAAGAGGGAAACAACCCAGACCGCCAGCUAAGGUCCCAAAGUCAUGGUUAAGUGGGAAACGAUGUGGGAAGGCCCAGACAGCCAGGAUGUUGGCUUAGAAGCAGCCAUCAUUUAAAGAAAGCGUAAUAGCUCACUGGUCGAGUCGGCCUGCGCGGAAGAUGUAACGGGGCUAAACCAUGCACCGAAGCUGCGGCAGCGAACGUAUCACCCAAGACAACUUUACGGAGUUGACGAUUGACGGAGCGAAGCGACGUCAAAGCGUUCAUUAAAGUCGAGUUGGCUUAGGGAUACGUUCGUUGGGUAGGGGAGCGUUCUGUAAGCCUGCGAAGGUGGCCUGUGAGGGUUGCUGGAGGUAUCAGAAGUGCGAAUGCUGACAUAAGUAACGAUAAAGCGGGUGAAAAGCCCGCUCGCCGGAAGACCAAGGGUUCCUGUCCAACGUUAAUCGGGGCAGGGUGAGUCGACCCCUAAGGCGAGGCCGAAAGGCGUAGUCGAUGGGAAACGGGUUAAUAUUCCCGUACUUGGUGUUACUGCGAAGGGGGGACGGAGAAGGCUAUGUUGGCCGGGCGACGGUUGUCCCGGUUUAAGCGUGUAGGUGUGUGUUCCAGGUAAAUCCGGUUCACUUUAACACUGAGGCGUGACGACGAGGCACUACGGUGCUGAAGCAACAAAUGCCCUGCUUCCAGGAAAAGCCUCUAAGCAUCAGGUAACAUCAAAUCGUACCCCAAACCGACACAGGUGGUCAGGUAGAGAAUACCAAGGCGCUUGAGAGAACUCGGGUGAAGGAACUAGGCAAAAUGGUGCCGUAACUUCGGGAGAAGGCACGCUGACACGUAGGUGAAGUGAUUUACUCACGGAGCUGAAGUCAGUCGAAGAUACCAGCUGGCUGCAACUGUUUAUUAAAAACACAGCACUGUGCAAACACGAAAGUGGACGUAUACGGUGUGACGCCUGCCCGGUGCCGGAAGGUUAAUUGAUGGGGUCAGCGCAAGCGAAGCUCCUGAUCGAAGCCCCGGUAAACGGCGGCCGUAACUAUAACGGUCCUAAGGUAGCGAAAUUCCUUGUCGGGUAAGUUCCGACCUGCACGAAUGGCGUAAUGAUGGCCAGGCUGUCUCCACCCGAGACUCAGUGAAAUUGAACUCGCUGUGAAGAUGCAGUGUACCCGCGGCAAGACGGAAAGACCCCGUGAACCUUUACUAUAGCUUGACACUGAACAUUGAGCCUUGAUGUGUAG